rnacentral:rRNA from 1 species
UGACGGUACCCAAAGAAUAAGCACCGGCUAACUUCGUGCCAGCAGCCGCGGUAAUACGUAGGGUGCGAGCGUUGUCCGGAAUUAUUGGGCGUAAAGGGCUCGUAGGCGGUUUGUCGCGUCAGGAGUGAAAACUCGGGGCUUAACCCCGAGCCUGCUUCUGAUACGGGCAGACUAGAGGUAUGCAGGGGAGAACGGAAUUCCUGGUGUAGCGGUGAAAUGCGCAGAUAUCAGGAGGAACACCGGUGGCGAAGGCGGUUCUCUGGGCAUUACCUGACGCUGAGGAGCGAAAGUGUGGGGAGCGAACAGGAUUAGAUACCCUGGUAGUCCACACCGUAAACGUUGGGCGCUAGGUGUGGGACUCAUUCCACGAGUUCCGUGCCGCAGCUAACGCAUUAAGCGCCCCGCCUGGGGAGUACGGCCGCAAGGCUAAAACUCAAAGGAAUUGACGG